AACGCACAUUGCGCCCUUUGGUAUUCCGAAGGGCAUGCCUGUUCGAGCGUCAUUAUCACCCCUCAAGCCUGGCUUGAUGUUGGACUUGUAGGUGCCGUUUCACGACGGAACCGGUCCCAAAGACAAUGACGGCGUCGGUGAGACCCUCGGUGCAACGAGCUUGUCACGAGCACGCACACGAGUUGCAAGGUCUCUCGACACGGCCCCGACCUCUAUUUUAUCAAGGUUGACCUCGGAUCAGGUAGGAAUACCCGCUGAACUUAA
rnacentral:misc_RNA from 1 species